UACGGGGGGUGCGAGCGUUGUCCGGAAUCACUGGGCGUAAAGGGCGCGUAGGUGGUUUGAUAAGGCUGUGGUGAAAGCCCGGGGCUCAACCCCGGGUCUGCCGUGGCGACUGUCAGGCUCGAGGGCUCGAGAGGCAGACGGAAUUCCGGGUGUAGCGGUGGAAUGCGUAGAGAUCCGGAAGAAGACCGGUGGCGAAGGCGGCAUCCUGGACCAACACUGACGCUGAGGAGCGAAAGCCAGGGGAGCAAACGGG
rnacentral:rRNA from 1 species